rnacentral:rRNA from 1 species
AUGCCUGAAUUCAAUCUCCAGCAGCUCCUAAAGCAGAGAUUGCUUGGCCUCGCUGCAAUCGAGCGCACGCACAAACGUCAGGCAUCCCGGCUGACCUGGCUCAAGCUGGGCGACGCAGGAACCAAUUUUUUCCAUGCAAAGAUUCACACGCGCCGAAGGAAAAACUUCAUCCACAGCCUGCAGACGAGCAACAGGAUCGCCACUUCGCACGAGGACAAGGCGGCAGCCAUCUUCGAGCAUUUCAACUCCGUCCUCAGCUCCAAAGGAGCACGCCCAAGAGCCAUCAACUAUAGCUAGCUCCAGCUGCCCACAAUCAGAGGGGGCAGCCUGGACCACCCCUUCUCCGAAGACGAGGUCUGGGAGGCGAUCAAGGCCUCACCGGCAGAAAAAGCUCCAGGCCCAGACGGCUUCAUAGGAAUUUUCUUCCCUAGUUGUUGGCAAACUAUUAAACACGACAUCAUGAAGGCAUUCUACCAGUUCUACUGCAUGGCCGGCGACGACCUUGCUGCACUCAACUCCGCCCUGGUAGUUUUGAUCCCAAAGAAAGAAGGCGCAGCAACAGUUUCAGAUUUUAGACCAAUUAGUCUACUCCACUCCAUAGCUAACCUGAUCAUCAAAGUUCUCUCCAUGCGGCUCUCCAACUUCAUCGACUCCAGAAUCUCGCCGGCAUAA